ACUGCUCAGUAACACGUGGACAAUUUACCCUUGGGACCAGGAUAACCCCUGGGGAAACUGGGGCUAAUACUGGAUAGAGCAUCGGCUGCUGGAAUGCGCGAUGUUCGAAAGCUGAGGCGCCCAAGGAUAGGUCUGCGGCUGAUUAGGUUGUUGUUGAUGUAACGGAUCAACAAGCCCACGAUCGGUACGGGUUGUGAGAGCAAUAGCCCGGAGAUGGGUUCUGAGAGAAGAACCCAGGUCCUACGGGACGCAUCAGGCGCGAAAACUUUACAAUGUGCGAAAGCGCGAUAAGGGAACUCUGAGUGCCUCCUAAGGAGGCUGUUCAGGUGUCUAAAAAGCAUCUGGAGUAAGGGCUGGGCAAGACCGGUGCCAGCCGCCGCGGUAACACCGGCAGCUCAAGUGGUAGCCAUGUUUAUUGGGUCUAAAGCGUCCGUAGCCGGCUGAGUAAGUUCCUUGGGAAAUUUGACCGCUUAACGGUUAAGCUAUCAGGGAAUACUGCUUGGCUUGGGACCGGGAGAGGUCAGAGGUACUCCAGGGGUAGGGGUGAAAUCUAUUAAUCCUUGGGGGACCACCGGUAGCGAAGGCGUCUGACCAGACCGGGUCCGACGGUGAGGGACGAAGGCUGGGGUCGCGAACCGGAUUAGAUACCCGGGUAGUCCCAGCUGUAAACGAUGCGGGCCAGGUGUUGGCAUUACUGCGAGUGAUGUCAGUGCCAAAGGGAAGCCGUUAAGCCCGCCAUCUGGGGAGUACGGUCGCAAGGCUGAAACUUAAAGAAAUUGGCGGGGGAGCACCACAACGGGUGGAGCUGCGGUUCAAUUGGAGUCAACGCCGGA
rnacentral:rRNA from 1 species